rnacentral:lncRNA from 1 species
AAGAAGCUUUAGAUGACGCAAGCAGCUCUCUCUGGGUUCUGUUUUGUUUUGGUGCUGGAAUGAAACCCUGUACACGAAAGGCCGACCCUCUCCUGCUCAGCUCUGUCCCCACACCUCUGCUAAUGUGGAGAGUUAGUGCCACCUGAGUUUCAUGAAUCUUUCUCCCUGGUCUCCUUGGAUUCUGUGUUCUUAUGUUCAACCUACUUAUGCCCACCCAGGUUAUCCACUCCUGUCAGCAGGAACAGGAGGUGGCGGUUGGAGUCUUGCUCUGCUUCUGCCCUUUGGCUACAGGCAAGGUCCUCGGUUGCUGAUAGCGAAGCGUGUUUGAGGAGGCCACUUGAAACCCCUGAGGAGAUGUGUUCUGACUCCCCCCAUUUCUGAGGGCUUGUAAGGCCCAAGCUCUCUGAGUACCUCUCAGGCUGGGACUUAGAUGGCCGUACCUAUUCCCUCUGCUCCUCAGACCCUCAGUUUCCCACCUGGACCUUGUGGAGAAUAUGGAUUCCUGAGCCUCUUUAGACUCAAAGAAGGGGAUCCACAGUCCUCCCCAUGACUCAAAGAGGACUGCAGGGUUUAUAGGGUGCUCUGUGCACCUUGCGGCUCUGGGACCUUCGUGACUCUCCUCCUUGGAACCUGGAUGGCAUGCUAGAGCUCAAAAACACCAGAGAGCUGAUGGGGAUACUAUUUCCGGACGGACUUACAUUUCCAAGCCAA